rnacentral:rRNA from 1 species
UGGGGAAUAUUGCACAAUGGGCGCAAGCCUGAUGCAGCCAUGCCGCGUGUGUGAAGAAGGCCUUCGGGUUGUAAAGCACUUUCAGCGAGGAGGAAGGGUAGUGUGUUAAUAGCACAUUGCAUUGACGUUACUCGCAGAAGAAGCACCGGCUAACUCCGUGCCAGCAGCCGCGGUAAUACGGAGGGUGCAAGCGUUAAUCGGAAUUACUGGGCGUAAAGCGCACGCAGGCGGUUUGUUAAGUCAGAUGUGAAAUCCCCGCGCUUAACGUGGGAACUGCAUUGAAACUGGCAAGCUAGAGUCUUGUAGAGGGGGGUAGAAUUCCAGGUGUAGCGGUGAAAUGCGUAGAGAUCUGGAGGAAUACCGGUGGCGAAGGCGGCCCCCUGGACAAAGACUGACGCUCAGGUGCGAAAGCGUGGGGAGCAAAACAGGAUUAGAUACCCUGGUAGUCCACGCUGUAAACGAUGUCGACUUGGAGGUUGUGCCCUUGAGGCGUGGCUUCCGGAGCUAACGCGUUAAGUCGACCGCCUGGGGGAGUACGGCCGCAAGGUUAAAAC